rnacentral:lncRNA from 1 species
GCUGUGGAUUGAACCCAGGGACUCCUGCAUAUUGGGUAAGCACUCUGCCACUGAGCUGUACCCCCUACCCAGUAGCAAAGUGUUUUUCUGGAAGGUACUGAACUUAAUCUUAGGAAAACACUCUCUUAAUGAUUUUUUGUUGCUUUUUUUCCCCUUCUUAGCUAUCCAGCAGGAGAAAGAGUGUGUCCAAACAUCAUAAAAUGGGGAUCUCCUCCCAAGAGCAAAUUUCAACAUUGAUGGAGAGUCUUGGUUUUAGUAAACCCAUGUAUUCGUAGAAAUGUUAGGCAUCUAUGGCUUCUCACCUGUACUUUGUGGCUAAGAGGUCAACACUAGUCAAUGUUCCCUUAAAUUUAUUUUUAAACUUCUCCUUGGUACAUAAAUAAUUUCCAAAUGAAAGAUGCUGUCAAUAGUCUCACCAUUGAUGAUCUUUGUGUGUGUAGUCUUUGUAAACCCCAUAAAGCAAGCCAAUUUUAACUUAGAAUGGGUACCUCCAUUGCUUCUUAAUAUUCAUGAAGUUACAUACUUUUGCAGCUUCUCGCAGUUUUCAUUUCUGUACCAAUAAAAUAAUAAACACAGUCA